GAUGAACGCUGGCGGCGUGCCUAAUACAUGCAAGUCGAGCGAAUGGAUUAAGAGCUUGCUCUUAUGAAGUUAGCGGCGGACGGGUGAGUAACACGUGGGUAACCUGCCCAUAAGACUGGGAUAACUCCGGGAAACCGGGGCUAAUACCGGAUAACAUUUUGAGCCGCAUGGUUCGAAAUUGAAAGGCGGCGUCGGCUGUCACUUAUGGAGGGACCCGCGUCGCAUUAGCUAGUUGGUGAGGUAACGGCUCACCAAGGCAACGAUGCGUAGCCGACCUGAGAGGGUGAUCGGCCACACUGGGACUGAGACACGGCCCAGACUCCUACGGGAGGCAGCAGUAGGGAAUCUUCCGCAAUGGACGAAAGUCUGACGGAGCAACGCCGCGUGAGUGAUGAAGGCUUUCGGGUCGUAAAACUCUGUUGUUAGGGAAGAACAAGUGCUAGUUGAAUAAGCUGGCACCUUGACGGUACCUAACCAGAAAGCCACGGCUAACUACGUGCCAGCAGCCGCAGUAA
rnacentral:rRNA from 1 species